rnacentral:lncRNA from 1 species
UUGACAGCGCCCACUCGCCGCAGCUCCACGUGCGGCGGGGGCGGAGGUAGCGGCUCGCUGCUGCGGCUCCCCGUGUCCGACGAAGAAGACCUGGGAGUCCGCCGGGGAACAGAGUCGCGGGAGAGAGACCCAGGACGACACGCCAAGACGGGGGUGGGGGCAUAUUAGGAGGGAAGUGGGCAGAGACCCAGAGGGAGGACAGGGACCCAGGGUGGAUGGACGGGGCGGGGGUGAGGGUGGGGACAGACGCGAGGCAAAGAGAGAGAGAAAAAAUAAAUAAAUAAAGGCAAGUCCCACAGUAGGAAAUUCCAAGAGGUGAGCAGGGAGGGGAGGAAGGAAGGUGAAUCAAUCCCCCUGCUCCUUCUGUCCCCGUCCCCGUGCCCAUCCGGCCUCACUCCACCUCCUAGCCUAGCUCUUACUCCCACCGCGCCCUGGUAUCACUGUGCCCCACCGUCUCCCCCUGCCCACCAGCUCGUUUGCCCAAUUCAGGAUGAGGACCGGAGCCAACACUUUGCAGGGACUGGGCAGUGAACAGGGACAGAUGGGAAGCAGGUGUGCAGGGGCAGGAGUCCUGCAGAGAUGGCACUCACUUGACAGAGGCUGCGCUGGGCCAGCGCCGCCCCAGCUUCGCCAGCUGCUUCCUGGGGGAAUUGAUCCACAGGCCCACGGGGAGAUGAAGCUUCCCGAAGCGGGGGCUUCCGCCCUCCUUCCGUUCACCAGACAGCAUGGCCCUAAGGGAAGGCGGCAAUUACCUAAGCCUCGCCCUUCGAAGUCCUCCUAUUCAAGCCCCCCGCACUCCAUCCCCAGGAAAGUCCUGCUCUCAGGCCUCAGUAGCCCCCAGACCAGCUUCUGUGUUGGGUUCCUGGAAGCCCCGCCCCUUACUCCAAGCCAAGCCU